rnacentral:rRNA from 1 species
GACGAACGCUGGCGGCGUGCUUAACACAUGCAAGUCGAACGGAAAGGCCCUGCUUUUGUGGGGUGCUCGAGUGGCGAACGGGUGAGUAACACGUGAGUAACCUGCCCUUGACUUUGGGAUAACUUCAGGAAACUGGGGCUAAUACCGGAUAGGAGCUCCUGCUGCAUGGUGGGGGUCGGAAAGUUUCGGCGGUUUGGGAUGGACUCGCGGCUUAUCAGCUUGUUGGUGGGGUAGUGGCUUACCAAGGCUUUGACGGGUAGCCGGCCUGAGAGGGUGACCGGCGACAUUGGGACUAGGAUACGGCCCAGACUCCUACGGGAGGCAGCAGUGGGGAAUAUUGCACAAUGGGCGGAAGCCUGAUGCAGCAACGCCGCGUGCGGGAUGACGGCCUUCGGGUUGUAAACCGCUUUCGCCUGUGACGAAGCGUGAGUGACGGUAAUGGGUAAAGAAGCACCGGCUAACUACGUG